AUACUGCAGGCAGCCCUGAAAGGUAGGCCAUGGCACAUGGCUGCCCUCCUACGGCCUGACCCCCUCAGGCUUGGCACAUUAGUGGAGAGGAACACCAGGUAUCCUGGCCUCUGAGUACUAUGCUUUAUAGGGGUUUGAUGUCCUCUUGACUCCAGAAGAUGAAAGGGUGGGCACUCUACCUCAUUAUUGAGGGACUUCCUCCUUGUCAAGCCAGGAUGGAGAGAGAACUGAGGCCCAGACCAUCCCUUUUCCAGAAGGUGAGUCUAAGGCCAAGCAACAGCCAAGGCCCGGAGAGAACCAGGAGACCCAGCAAGAUGUCCUCUUCUGGACGAAACAGGAGAGAUGGCCAAGCCUGUAACCCAGCAGACCUGUUGGUGCUGGAGGCCACUGGCUACCUCCUGCAGCUUGCCUGACAGUGUUGGAGAGAUUGCUGUAAUGUCCUGCCUCAGGAUGCCUCCCUACACACACACUCACAACUCAAUCCCUUUCUGGUCUGACACUCACAUAGGGAGGGCCCAGGACAGACGAGAAGAUCUAUGACCUGGGAGCUCCCAGAGCAGGAGGCAUUGGCCACACUCUGCAGGACCUCAAGAGAUGCUACAGUCCAACCUCUUUGUCAGAUUGACAAAGAGACCCAAGGUGGGCAGGAGCAAUCGGAAGAUACAUGGUGCAUAGGGCCCACUCUCCUGCCGCUGCUGCCAGAAGGAGGCCCCGGAGCUGAGCCUUCUCUGGGUCACAUGCAGAAGCAGCUCCUCUGGGCUGCUGGACCAGGCAGGGGUGCACACUGGAGAAGACACGAGGGCCCGGCUUCUUGAUCUCGUGCAUGCUGACUGUUGCCUGGGCAGGUAUUAGGGGCCCUAUGCAUGGGCUGGGAGCUGGGGAGGUUCCCACUUAGGCUUCUGUAGGCCCUGCUACCUUUGAUCUUCAGCUCCUGCCGGGCUUCCCCUUUCUGGAUUCUUCCUAAAGUCUGGCCUCUUGCACUUCCGGGACAGGGAAGUGGGUGGUGGGAGAGAUUCAGAAACCCGACCACUACGUUGAAAGAAGCCUGGAAGCAUGUGGCCACAUAAAUCUCCUGGGUUUAUUUACAUGUCUUUCAAACAAAUGUCUUGGAUGGCUUUCUUCUUCCCCCCCCCUCCUGGAACUGAGCCACUCAAUGGAAACCAGUAGCUCAAAAGUCUUUGCACCACUCUGGAGGUAACUCAGACCCCACCCACGAGGUCCAGGCUGCCACCUUAGGGCCAGGAUCACUCAGACACCCUGAGUCUCUGUGGUCAGUGGGUCUACAAAGACUCCUACCACACCCACCAUAUCACUAUGGUCUCUAGGCAUGGAGGCCUAGAUAGCAGACAGCCAGCCACAAUCAAGCCCUUCUCUAGGGGACCAGCGACCACUCAGAGAUGUACGGCGAGCAGCUGGAACGGAGAGGAGAGGUCUUCUCAGGCAACUGAAACUGCCCAGAAAACCAGACCGUAUAGCUGGAACUCACCAAGAGACCAGAGCAGAGCAAGAGGUGCUAGAGUUACCUUCAGGCUGCUCUUGCCUCGCAGCCUAGAGACAGAGACCUGGAGCCUGAGCAGGCACACUGCCAUGGCCGAGAUCACACAGCUUUGGGUUUUGCCCUGUCAGAAAUGCCACUCAAGCCUCAUUUACUCAACCAUUACUUCCUUAGCACAACCUAUGAGCCCAGAUUCUGGAGUUUAUUUGGGGCACCUGAUGGAAAAUGAACUAACUGUACCCUUGAAGCCUUGCAAACUGGGGGUGAGGGGCCUUUUAGAUGUCUCUUCCCCACUUUCCUUGUGUAGCAGACAGCUAUCCUUACCAUCACUAGAGGAAACAGAGAAGCAAGAAGGCGAUAAACUUUCUUUGGAUCAAAACGACAGACAAGGAGCACCAGGACCUGGAGAAGACGAGGGGACCUGGACGAGGUUACUACAGCCAGAGUGCCACAGUCCUGGCAGAUGAAUUUCCACUAGCCAAGGAGGCCUCUUGUCUCAUGCUGAGUGAGUCUCUUGUGUCCCUGGGACCCUAGACCAGACGUGUUUAUGUCACAUUUUCCUCCUUCCUACGAAAUUAUGCUCUCUCUGGAAAACAGAAACCACCACCACUAACAAUAAAAGAACCAGAAGCUGCCCCCAUCCCACUAGGAAAAUUAACUAUGAACAACCAUCUAGUCCUUUGUUUUCUCUGUCCAAAUAUAGUGUGUGAUGGUUACUGUUGACAGAAUCUAGGAUCACCUAGGAGACAAACCUCUGGGCAUGCCCGUGAGAGUUUGGGGAUUGGGUUAAUUGAGGUGGGAAGACCCACUCUAACUGUGGGUGGCACCAUUCCAUAGGCUGCAGUCACAGACUAAAUAAAACCGAGACAGUAAGUGG
rnacentral:lncRNA from 1 species